rnacentral:rRNA from 1 species
UCUGGUGUCAGCCGCCGCGGUAAUACCAGCUCUCCGAGUGGUAGGGAUGAUUAUUGGGCCUAAAGCGUUCGUAGCCGGCUUGGCAAGUCUCUCGUUAAAUCCAGUGACCUAAUCGCUGGGCUGCGGGAGAUACUGUCAGGCUUGGGAGCGGAAGAGGUCGACGGUAUUCUCGGGGUAGGGGUGAAAUCCUAUAAUCCCGGGAGGACCACCAGUGGCGAAGGCUGUCGGCUAGAACGCGCUCGACGGUGAGGGACGAAAGCUGGGGGAGCGAACCGGAUUAGAUACCCGGGUAGUCCCAGCUGUAAACGAUGCGGGCUAGGUGUUGGGGUGGCUACGAGCCACUUCAGUGCCGCAGGGAAGCCAUUAA